rnacentral:sRNA from 1 species
GCCGCUUAGCAGGUAGGUUUAUUAGCAUCUCCAGGGACAGUUGAAAGCCUCGUUGAUCAUUUUCGUUGGAUUUUUGGCCGCUUUGCAGGUAGGUUUAUUAGCGUCUCCAGGGACAUUUGAAAGCAUUGCUG